GUCAGGCGGAGGACAUUACCGGGGGAAGUUGGUGCUCUGGUACUGGUUCCCAUGUCGCAACCUCUGGUACCUGCAGCAAAGACGAGUGGGUGCAAGCAGAUGUUCUGGAUUUGACUUUUGUGCUGCUACAGCCGGUCCUCCCGCGUUGCUUGGAUGAACGAAAGAAGAGAAACAGCACCAUCACUUGUUCUCAAUCAGCAUCUGCACCUUACACACCAGAUCUCUGGCCUGGGUCAAAAUCUGCUUUAUGUUGUGAUGCUCUGCCAUUUCUGAAAGACAGAAGAAGAAGAACAGCGAAGGAUGAUGUCCCUGUAGAUCUCCACCAGCGCCAGGGCAAUGAAGAGGACAAAAUGACUGGAGGACACGUACUUAGCCGCCCAUAUUGUUUCCCAGAUGGAAAACACAUCCUCAUAUACCAGCUCUGGAAAACAAAGAACAAAACGGCCACUUAGGGAUGUGCAGUAUAACCACAUCCACUGUCUACUGCUUUAUCCUCCACAUGAAGGUCGCCAGUCCAUCGCAGGGCCAACUUAUAGAGACAAACAACUACUUACUCACACCUACAGCUACGUCAGUGUACAAUUAACUUCUGCAUUCCCCACACAGGGAUAACAUGCAAACUAGCAACCACCUUGCUGUGAGGCAACUGUGCUAUUUUGUAGUUCUACCUUUGAAUAUGCCAAUUAAACUCUGGAAGGACAAAUCCUUCCAGAGUUUAAAUAACUGCAGGAGCCGUUAACGAGCGGGUGAGAGAUUUGGCAUUUUAUCCAAAAAAGAAGAAAGGCGUGUGUCUCUGCUUCCUCUAAUUGGCACAACGUCUCCUGGUCUGUACCCCCAAUUUACCUCGCUUGAAAUCGAGGAGAAACCAGCGGUAGCAGAAGUAGAAGUGGGUGUAGUCUCCGUUUUGGUGCAUUAGCUCAAACAGCUCAGAAUCCAGGAUCUAAAGAGUGAUGGGAAAAAUAUGUUAUGUAAAUAAUGUAUUACUUGACUGUUACUGUGUGUGUGUUCACUGUUGCUGUCUUACCUGGAUUAGGGAACGCAUGUUGGCGAAGUGAGUGUCCAUGGCUCCUCCAUGUGGGAAGUUUUGAUUCAUUCUCUUCAUGAGCUCAGUGAAGCAGCUGAAGGCCAUGGCCUCUGAAAGAAGGAAGCAGAGAGAGGAAGCCUGAGUGAAAAGUGUGACUGUCGGUGCGUGCUCCUGCUUCACCUCAUUGCUCACAGUGGAGUCGUGAUGGAUCAUCUUCUGACUGGAACUGUCUGUGCUCGCAACAGAGGAGCACUUUGCCAAAGCUGCAGCGUGCUGCUCCUUCUCCCGCUGGCGGACAAUCUCCUCGCAGCCUAGCCACUCCUGCAUGGUCUGUUGGUAGCACACUCGGACCUGUUCGUCCACCUGGGGUGAAGGGUGAAAGGAAAGGCCACACCUCUUUGCGCAGAGAGGGCUCCACACCGCCAAAGUAGACCAGACGAAGCAGCUCCUGUUCCUCGUCAGACUGAGGAAACAAGACUCGUCUUCAGUCACUUCGGUCACUUUUUCCUCGAGUGGAAGAUGGAGCAAUGAAUGAAAACAUACUGUCAGUGAAUGUGAAGCGUUGGAGUGUGUGUGGGAGUGCCAUCAGGGAUGCUUACUCUGCAGUCCUGGAGGAACGUCUGCCACACUUCUGCGCAAAGACCUCCUGCUCUGACCUUUCCCCUCUGGGACCAGAGCGGAGGGUCCAGCUGGCCGUGAGGAAGGAGGCCGUUCUCCAAGCAGGAGAGGAACUGGAGCAGAUGGCCUCCUCUGGGGAAGCGAAUUGGAGGUCUUUGAAUUCCAUCCUGACUGACCAACACCACUGUCCCUCCACUGUCCACUGCAGAGGAUUAACAGGAAAAUAUAUAUAUAUACACACACAUAUACAUAUAUAUAUGUUUUUAUUAUUUUUUUUACUUAAAAAAUAAUAAUAAUAAUAUGUUAUAUUAAUUUUCCUUAAUUUUACUUUAGGAAAAUUAAUAUAACAUGACACUCUGCCUAAAUGACUCAGGGGAGGCUUUCAGGAGAAAUUGUGUCCUUUUCAGAGAAGCCAAGCUCCAAUUAGCUCCUCUGUAAUUCAAACCAUGAAUAUAUUCAUGAUGGAAUUUUGUUUGAGAGAUACACAGUAUCAGCAUGAAAAGACAGGAAUAAUAUAGUCGGUCAUUGAAGUUGAAUGUAAAAUAUUAGUUUCAGGACACAAGUUUGUUGUGGACCCACCUUGUUGAUGACAGUGCAGGUACACUAUCUCCUCUAGAGGGAUAGUCAUAGCAUAGUCCCAGUACACACUGAAAAACAAAAUCAGAAACAACCUCUUACUAGACUUCACAAACUUAACGGUACAAUUCAAAUUCAUCAGUAUGAAUAAAGAUUUCAAGGACCAUUCAUUUUACGGCUAAUGAAGAAAGCAUUGGAGAGCAUGCAUACAGAUUAUGCAGGCGCAGAGCUGCAGUGAGUAAUCAAUUUUUUUUUGGAGAGAGGAUCCAGGCACACACACACACACAAAGGAACAUAACAUGGUUUGCUAGGGUUGAGAGAUGUCUGACAGCGUCUCAGUCAAUAAACCAUCUGCCGACUGCUGGUGAGCUCAAAAUAAGCCUCAUCAGAUCAGCAGCACUUGCUCUAAAUACACAGAGCCCCCCACACACAAACAAACGCACUGCAUUAUUCAGCAACAUCACAGUGCUAGACAAACAUCUUUGAGGAAGCACAGAUUUUCUUGGUUUGAGAUGGAUUAUUGUUAUCAAAUGCAGACUCUGCAGGCAGACACAAUCACCACAAUCAUAAUCCAUUUGUGGCUGGACAAUUUUGCACCUGCGUUCGUAGUCCAAGUCUCCAACAGAGCCGUUCAUGAGCUGAUUGGGCGUCCACUUCAGGGUCAUGAUGUCAGCGGUUUGGUGCAGAGAGAGGUAACCUGGUAUCGCCUCCAUGUCGUCCCUCUGAAACAACCACCAGGAUGGAUGAUUUUCAUUUGACACGAGAACAGCAUGGAUAUGAAUCAUAAAACUAGUUGUGCAGACUGUGCUGGUGGAGAAGUUAGACGUGUGCUGACACAGAAAUAGCUUCUUUGAUCAUGAAAGAGAAAAAAAUCAAGAGAAAGGGAAUGUCGCUAUUUUAGGGCAGGCUGGUGUUAUCUGACAUAUGUAAUGUUGAAAGUAUUCUUUUGUUUUGUGACAUAAAUUAUAGUUGGUAUGUGAAAUGUGUGAGGUGGAAGUUAAAGUGAAUCAUUUGUGAGCACACAUGCAAUACAUUUAUUCUUGUAAUAACAGGAUUUUUGAUAAAUUUGACAAAAAAUAGUAUGAUGUUCAUCGAUGUAUCCAAAGGUAAAUGGUCUGUAUAAAUAUGUAUGUAUGUUUGUAAUGUUUAUAUAGCGCUUUUCUAGUCUUGGUGACCACUCAAAGCUGCUUUACAUUACCAUUCACACGCACAUUUUCUGUAACCAUUCACACAGUGCUGACACAGCUGUCGGGUACAACGUGGGGUAAGGUGUCUUGGCCAAGGACACAUUGGCAUACAGACUAUGAAAACCCCCAUUUAAAACAGUCGAGAGAAAUGUUUGAAUAUAAACAAAUGGAUGUUACAUUCAAGUCAUUGUCACACCAAACACUGCUGAGUGACUCUUAUCUGUUUUUCUUUGGGUGAGCUGGAGCCACGGCCGAGCAAGCGGAUGCAGCCCAUCUCUUCUUGAACCAGAUCCACAAUCAACUCCGUGCCAGAUCGUGGUCUAAACUCCACCUGCCAGCCCUGACUCAUGACUCUGCCUUCACAUCCAUCACAACUUCUUCCCACGUGCAUGCUGCCAUUGACGCCUACCAUCUCCCAGAACUCCGCCUUCCCCUCCCGUUCCUGCUUUGUUUAUCCCUUCAUCCAUUAACCCAUUCUUCAGUAAACUGUUAAACUGCGUACUGGCUUCGCCUGCCUGCUCUUGGGUCCAGCACCACCUCGCCUUAACACCAACUUCUGGUCUUAACUCCAGGCAAUGGUGAAACACGGUGGAGGUUCCUUGCUGCAUUUCUGGAAAAGGAGUUGGGCAUUUGGUCGGAGUCCUUUUAAGCUGAGACAGAUACAAGCAGAUCCCAAACAUGGAGACAACGCCAUUAAGAACUAUCUUCACCGUAAAGAAGAACAAGGACUCCUGAAAGUGAUGCAGCUACAAACUAAUAGUUAAAGAUGACUGACGAAUCAAUCCCUCAUGUGUCUGUGGAGACAUCCCCCUGUGUUGGCAACUGCUCUGCAACCUGCAUGGGGAAUAUACGGUACCAACCUCCGGACACAGUCAUGCAGACAGCUUUAAUUUCCUGCUGAGAUGAGUAUCUCCACAACACAAACACACACACACACAUACACACACACACACACACACACACAGCGCUGAACAUGUACAGUUCAUGUACAUGUUAGGUCCAGGUUUUUGUCUCCAUGAGGGUUACUGGUCCUGACAAGUUCAGUGUUUAUAAAGAGGUAACGGAUAUAAGUAAACACACACACACACACACACACAGUAUUCUCAGUGGUUUUUCCCUUUGCUCAAUUUUAAAUACAUUUAUUUUCAAUCAAUUGCCCCCCCCCCCCACCUCCAAAUCUACACAUUCACUGAAUGGUUUUGCGGCAUAAGCAGAUCCUUUUACCCCUGUGAGGCAGCUCAGAGGUCAUGAUGAGCCAGCUGUCAAACAGUAUUAUUUUUCAUGGUUUGAUAUUUACAACUUCAUCAUAAACUCUUCCGGGAGAUAAAAUUGUGCCUUCAGGUUUCAUUUUCCACUGCUCUGGCUUAGUUUUAUGAACAGCAACAGAUGAUAUAAAAUUGCAUAAAUGAUUUUUAUGAAUAAUGCAAUCAUAACAGAAGCACUGAAGUGUAUUUUGACUGCAGAUGAUCAUCAAGAAGAAAAUGAGUCCAAGUCCCAGUGUUUUUUACCCCCUUAAAUUAUCACUUAAUAUGGCUCCUGAACAUGGAGCCAUAUUAAUCCACUUUACUGUAUAUUCUAUUGGGCACUUAAAUAUACGGUAUGUCAGCUUUCAUUAGCUGUAGGUUUGUAUUAACAUGUAAUUAGUAGCAUUGGCUUAUAUUAUAAAGCAUAUAAACGCAGCAUAACCCUGCUCCUCGGCAUCAACAGAAGGGAUUCAUGCUGCCAUCACCACGGAGACUGUGGCACUCAACUCUACUCACAAUCACACCCAUAUACAGCAAACUCACAGAUACAAACGCAUGUCUGCACAGCAUUAAUAGUGAGGAAACUCCAUAGAUAAUAAUGCAUUCCCAAGCCCCUUACCCUAACCUUAAACAUCACAAAUGAAUGCCUAACCCUAAAAGCAAGUCUUAAUCCUCAAAAGUUGAAGACGUCACAGAAUGUGAGGAGCUGCCAAAAUAUCCUCACUUUCUCAAAAUGUCGUCAGUCUGUGGUUUUUACGUUUUUUUUGGUCUUCACAAAAAUACCCAUACAAGAGCACACGCACAGAAAACACACAGAACUUCUUUCAUCUGACAUACAGAGAUCUGACUGAUUUGCCAAUUUCAACACACAGCAUGUCAUUUCUGUCACUAGGGGUCUUUCAAUCAGAAACAAUAGCACACGACUGUUGUGAAGCUUUGCUGAAUCACGGAGAGAACAGAAUGUGCAGCAAAUGGCAAUGAGUAGUCGUAAUAAUCCACGAGUGACAAAUGCACACAAUAAAAUGAAAAGAAAAAUAACACACGACAACACACUGAAUAUGUCCUUCCUCACUCUGAUGUUUCACAGGAGAGGUUUGUCCAGGAGCUUACAGCCGUGCAUCUAGUGCUAUGUAAUAUAAAGGAGAGCAGUGGUGGUUGUUUGUCUUUGAAAUAGGGGAAGCUCAUUUCAGGUCCAUUUAUUUAAACAUACAUUUAACAGAAAUUCUACAAACGAACAACUAGAAUAAGGAAACGCGAUGAUUAUAACUGAAACGUUAUAAUAGUAUGGAAUUAGAAAAUUAAAACACUUUUUAAGAACAAAUAAAAUAUCAAUUUAUAUACUUGUUCCUUGUGCUCCCUGAUUUGUUCUUUGCACUCCCUAUCUUGUUCUUUGCGCUCCCUAAUUUAUUCUUUGUGCCAUGAUUUUUUUUUUUGCGGGUGGGCCUUAGGACGCUGCCUGCUGAUUGGCUACUGAGUUUUGGAGCGAUGGCUCAAUGGACCGGAAGUCGCUGUCCCCAAGUUUUCCCAGUUGACAUCCGACAAAAUAGUUGUGAAUAUCUAAUGUUUUGUCAGAUAAUAAACAGAUACUUACAAUUAUUUUGUUGACGGGAAACGAGUUCCAGACAGACGACGACUCCAAGUCCGUGACUACUUCCGGUCCAUUGAGCUGUCGCUCCAAAAUUUGUUCCUGCAAUGCUGGAACCCUAACCCUAACCCUUUCAGACACCUACUCCAAUCAUCAUGCAGAAGCCUAGCGUACACACCUGCCCGCUGCUCCAUUGACUCCCAGAGAAGCUGAGCUUCCCUGGAAGUGAUGUUUUUGACGCGUAUUUGUCCAAUCACUGUCGAGCUCACCGCAGUGGAAAAAAACCUAUUCUGUGUCGUCGCAUAGAGUACAGUUAAAGCUGAGCUUCAAGUGGUUUUAAUUCGGAGGCUGCUACAGUAAUAGGAACAUCACGUUCUUAUCACGAUCAAGGUCUAAUCGCGUUCUAGCGCAUGUUUAGUAUUGAAAAGUAAAUGCAACACAGUACAUAUUUGACCACAUUCUAGAGGAAGCUUCACUUGUUAUCGCCACAGCAGGAAAGUCGUAGGAGUAUGUAGGAGUGUGGAGUGUGUGAAUGCUGUAUAUGUUGUUCUGACCUUCAACACAUUUAGUCAAAGUUCUCCCCUGAAUAAAUAAACCCUCCAUAAAGUGGACGAUGUCAUUAAAAGGUGACCAAAAUUAAACUGUUGAAAAACACAUUUAUGUUGUACAUAAAUGUGGAUUUCUAUGGAUUUUUAAAACUGUUAGAUGGAAGAAAUCUCACACAUUAUGUUUUUAAAGACUCCAUUUUCAUCUAGUUUGGGCUACAGAUCAGGCGUCUGAAGAAUUUAUACAGUGAGGUGUCAAAGCACAGAUGACCUGCAGGUUUCCAUGGAGAUAGCACGUGUUGCACAGUGGAUGACUUCUGCCUUAGAGGAUGCUUCAACAACACUCAAUCAAAUCUGGAAUAAACCGAAACAUUCACGGCUCCUUAACUGCGUCAACGGCAGGAUCCAGGUAAACUGUGCCGUUAUCAUUUCAAAAGGGACUCGCAGCCUCAUAGACGCAUCAUUUGUGUUGAUUAGAGAUUGUUUGUGCUCAAAUCUUCAUCCAUCAAUGCCACGGCAACAUGCAUUUUCAGGGGGGAUUUAGAAACGUGCGUGAUGUAACAAGUCAUUUAGUCGCCUGUGCUCCCGCUGCAGCAGCGAUGCCUGAUGAAUUUAACCGCUGUAGCUUGAAGACACAAGCCAGAGUGAUAAAAGAUCUUCAGAGUAAUUCCAAUUAAAUCUUGCAACAGCAGAGGCAAGAAAUAAGAGCAAGAGAAAAAGCCACAUCCAUUAACUUCCACCCUUCAUUAUUCAUCAUCUCUGUGGACACUGCUGAACGGAGGGAGCACACAGUGGAAAGUAAUAAAUAAAAAUUCAUCACCGUUAUUCAUGGUAAUCCAUGCACACACACACACAAAUACAAUUUGUACGUGCAUUAUUAUUAUACUUAAAUAAUGUAUGAGCAGACUGAACAUACUAUUAAAAAGGAAAGGAAACACAAAAAUCAGUGCAAUCAACAUGCAACCUGAACCUCUAGACCUUUUGAUUAUGUCACAUGACCGUCGUCACUGAUUGAACUCGGCCACUUUUCAUGGAAAUGUGGAUGUUCAAAUGUACUCUCUCUCUCUCUCUCUUUGAAACACUGAGGAAUUGUGGUUUGCGGUUUAACUUGUGGUGAGACUCUUUUGUUAACGUUUAGCCUUGACUAAAGAAGGCAUAUCAAAAGCAGACAUACUUGUACAUUAAUGACGUAUUAAAAUAAUUUACCCCAUAGGUCUCUGAGAUCUACCGCUUUAUCCUCCACAUAAGGAUUGCGGAGGUCGCUGGUGCCAAUCCCAGCUGACAUAGGGUAAAAGGAGGGGUACACACUGGACAGGUCACCAGUCCAUCACAGGGACACAAACAACCAUCCACUCUCACACUCCUACGGUCAAUUUAGAGUGUCCGAUUAGCCUAAUCCCCAAAUCUGCAUGUUUUUGGACUGUGGGAGGAAACCAGAGUUGCAACCAGGGCGGGAACCUGGGUCUUCGUGGCUCAUCAGCUUGUCUAUUAUAGUUGGUUCUCUUAAGUAGUUUUCCCUAGUGCUAAGUCUGAGUAUUCUUGUUUUGUUUUUUUCCUCUUACAAACAAUUCUCUUCUCCGUCUGCUUCAGUGUGAACCCUCUGACGAACUUUACAUCCCUGCCACUGCUCCUGGACCAUUGGAUCCACUCCCACGCCAGCUUUUACCAACCUGCCAGCGCUGCCCGGACUAUAUGCGUCGAGGCAGAUGGCUGCACAUCUUUGAGUCUGGUUCUGUCAGAGAGUUCUUCCUCUUAAAAACCGCCAUCUUCCACCUCCAUGUUUCUACAACAGCCUGAAUGAUGAACAAACAUCAGAGCGAGGAGAAGUCAGACAAUGAGCUGCAGGAAGUCGGCGUGGGCUUCGCUUCACCACAGUCUUUGGGAGCGUUAAGUGCAGCCCUGCUGCCCCGGAGGACGGAGCUGUCAGUUGCUCUUUUGACGCCAGGAUUCCCCCUCAUUGCCAUGACUCACUCUUCACAAAGGCUUUAGAUAAUAUGAGGUAAUAGCAUGUCGUGUCAAACGCCACACCAGGACUUCUGCUCGAGUAAGCAGCAGAGAACAUCACCAGCUUCACGGUGCUUAUGUGUUGAAAGCAAAUCGACAUGACGUGUGUCUCUCGAUUUUGUCCGUGAGACUUUAUCUGCGGCAGAGACACAACAUCCAGCAUUAAAAGAAACAUGAUUAUUUGAAGUGAUAAAGAAGUUUGUGGUUCAUCUGGAAUAAAACCUUAAGCCACAAGAACAGUUCCAUCUCCUCUGCCUCACGUUUUAUCAAUAAGACUAGAUUCUGAUCCCAUUCAUGAACGAUAUGCAUUGUAUUAUUAUAUACACACAAUCUGCGCCAUCAUUUUAUUAUAAAUAUUGUACUGUACAUGUGCUUUUUAUGUUUUUUAUGUCUAAUCACUUUGUUUCCAUUUUAUGGUAAAAGUGUAAUUGGACAUAAAAUAAUUGUGGAAUUAAGCUUUCAUUUGUUUCAUCUUCUGCUAAAGGCUUUAGUUUUCUUGAUUUAAUCUGCUUUUAUUAUUGUCCUUUAUUGUCUUCUCUAAUCUUUAUUGUCAGAUUGGGAAUCGAUACAGUGAAAUAUUGCGAUAUUUUGUGAGGCAAUAUUAUAUCUCGCUUUUGAGACAUCGACUUUCUUUGCAUUAUAUAAUUGUUUAACUGAUGUUACUAAUAAAUAAACAUAACAUUUUUGUUGAUUAGAAUUUAAAUUUACAUUUCAGUCCACUAGAUGCUCACUCUCACUAGAGCUGUCGUGUGAGUUUAUCGCAAAAUAUUACGAUUUUGCAAAUAUGCAAAUAAUAUCGUAUCGUGCUGUCUCUGGUGAUUCCCACCUCUAGCAGUUAGUCAGUUUCAAAAUAUCUUUCCGAAAAAUUACUUCUUUUAUGUGAACGAUGUAUCACAACAAACACUUUUACUUCGAAAUGCUGUGCAAUAUCAUCCUAAAUACUUUCUUUUUGCAACAUCAUGAUGGAUUAUCAGGAUAUCAUUUUCAUUUCUUAGCACUAAACAGAUAGAUAAUCUUUUCCCCAAACUUUCUUCUCUUGACCAGCCUAGAAGUUCGCUGGCACACAGCUCAUUUUGAGUUUCAGGCCCCUGGUCCAUAUAUUCAUUAUAUAUUCAUUCAUUAGCUGUACUAAUAGAGGCUUUUUUAACUUUUCCACAGCAAAAGUGUUUGGUUUUCAAACCUAUGUUGAACAUAUGUCACACCUGCACCACAAGAUGUUUUUCUUCACUCUACAUCACAUAAUAUCACUCCUUUUUCUGUUAAACUGGCCAGUGAUUUGGAAAC